rnacentral:lncRNA from 1 species
AUGUAAGAUAGCAGCUCAAUACAAUAAAGAGCAAAACCAACAUCUCAGGACGUAGAAAUAAAAAAAAAAUCACUUGACAAAUGCCAACACCCAUGGAUGAUAAAGGUAUUCAGCUAACCAGAAAGAGGAACUCUACCUCAGGAAGAGAUGGCUCAGCAGGUCAAAGGCGCCUACAGCUAAGCCUGACUGCAUGAGUUCAAACUCCAGGGCCCACAGAGCGGACUCCCCCAGGCUGGCCUCUGACCUCCAUACGUGGUAUUCGCACACCCAGAGACGAAGACACCAGUUGCUAGGGAGAGGUGGAUCCUUGAAGGCUACUAACCCAGACUGAAUGAGUAUGCUGUAAGGCUCUUGAAGGAAAGAUACGGAGAGCAUGGAGGAGGGGUGCCUUCCCAAGGACCUUAGACUGGUGUGGGAAAUAUAAAUGCUCUACAGCAUGACCCAUCUUCAUCCCCAUGCUGGAAGGAAGGCCUGGUAGCCAGAAUAUAUCCUCCACCUGAGAGCCGGGAUCAUCACUAGUUCUUGAACAGAGGACCGCAGGAGCAUUUCCUUUAUAAAUGUCAUCAAGCAGAGCCAGGUGCACUGGCACAUAUCCUUAAUCCCAGCACUGGGAAGGCAGAGGCAAGAGAGUCACAGCAAGCUUGAGGCCUGCCUGGUCCACAUAUGGAGUCCCUGGAUAUUCAGAGCGCCACGGAAACCCUGUCUCAAACUCUAAAUAAAACGGACCAAGCAAAAAGGGGCCGGCAGAAAAGUAACUCAAGUCAGGAUGACUCAAGUCAGGAUGUUGGAAGAAGGAUCUCUGAGUGAGAUUUGAAAUCCUACCUGGAUCUGAAUCCUAGCCCUGAGCUUGCUAGCUGGGUAACCUGCUGUAAGUGACCAGAGGAGACACUGUUUUCUCUUGUAUGAUUAGAGUCGUCAUGCAAACUACGAACACUGUGAGAACCAAGAUAUGGCAGGGUUCAGUCCAUCACAGCAGGGAAAGCAUGGCCGCAGAUGCAAGGCAGUUGUCAAUAUCGUCUCCACAGUCAGCAAGCAGAGAGUAGACAGGAAACACGGCAUGGACAUAAAACCUUCAAGCCUUCCUCAGUGGCCUGCUUUCUCCAGAGGAGUUCCACUUCCUAAUGGCUACGCACACUUCCAAAAGAGCACCACCAGCUGGGGACCAGCUGUUCCAACAUGAGCCUGUGGGGGACAUUUACCAUUCAAGCACACGGGAGACUGCUAUGGACAGAAGAAAGCAGAGCGUUUUCUUCAGAUAUGGCGAGCAGGAUGUGAUUUGUUGCUUCUAUCUGCACAGGUUUAACUCAAGAAAUCGUCAUCACCAGAAUUCAAAUAAAACCUUCAGUUCUCACA